GCAUGGUUCAAUCAUAAAAGGUGGCUUUUAGCUACCACUUACAGAUGGACCCGCGGCGCAUUAGCUAGUUGGUGAGGUAACGGCUCANNNAGGCGACGAUGCGUAGCCGACCUGAGAGGGUGAUCGGCCACACUGGGACUGAGACACGGCCCAGACUCCUACGGGAGGCAGCAGUAGGGAAUCUUCCGCAAUGGACGAAAGUCUGACGGAGCAACGCCGCGUGAGUGAUGAAGGUUUUCGGAUCGUAAAACUCUGUUGUUAGGGAAGAACAAGUACCGUUCGAAUAGGGCGGCACCUUGACGGUACCUAACCAGAAAGCCACGGCUAACUACGUGCCAGCAGCCGCGGUAAUACGUAGGUGGCAAGCGUUGUCCGGAAUUAUUGGGCGUAAAGCGCGCGCAGGCGGUUUCUUAAGUCUGAUGUGAAAGCCCCCGGCUCAACCGGGGAGGGUCAUUGGAAACUGGGGAACUUGAGUGCAGAAGAGGAGAGUGGAAUUCCACGUGUAGCGGUGAAAUGCGUAGAGAUGUGGAGGAACACCAGUGGCGAAGGCGACUCUCUGGUCUGUAACUGACGCUGAGGCGCGAAAGCGUGGGGAGCGAACAGGAUUAGAUACCCUGGUAGUCCACGCCGUAAACGAUGAGUGCUAAGUGUUAGAGGGUUUCCGCCCUUUAGUGCUGCAGCAAACGCAUUAAGCACUCCGCCUGGGAGUACGGUCGCAAGACU
rnacentral:rRNA from 1 species